UAUGAAAUCGACACUCUUAGUAAGAGAAGAUUGCAUCCUCUGAAUUCUCAUCUCUAGAUGACUCGAAAAAAGUCUUUUGGCCAAAAGCAGGAAGGAGAUUAGUAAGAGUUUCUAAUGCUUUAUCAUCAGAGUUAUCAUUGGUUAAUAGAGAAUCAAUAUGAAUAUAUAUUUGAGUUUGACAUGAUUUCAUACUCAUGAAUAUAUUCGGGAUGCAGGGA
rnacentral:lncRNA from 1 species